rnacentral:rRNA from 1 species
GACGAACGCUGGCGGCGUGCUUAACACAUGCAAGUCGAACGGAAAGGCCCUGCUUGCAGGGUACUCGAGUGGCGAACGGGUGAGUAACACGUGGGUGAUCUGCCCUGCACUUCGGGAUAAGCCUGGGAAACUGGGUCUAAUACCGGAUAGGAGCCAUUUUUAGUGUGAUGGUUGGAAAGUUUUUUCGGUGUAGGAUGAGCUCGCGGCCUAUCAGCUUGUUGGUGGGGUAAUGGCCUACCAAGGCGGCGACGGGUAGCCGGCCUGAGAGGGUGGACGGCCACAUUGGGGCUGAGAUACGGCCCAGACUCCUACGGGAGGCAGCAGUGGGGAAUAUUGCACAAUGGGCGCAAGCCUGAUGCAGCGACGCCGCGUGGGGGAUGACGGCCUUCGGGUUGUAAACCCCUUUCGCUAGGGACGAAGCUUUUUGUGACGGUACCUAGAUAAGAAGCACCGGCUAACUACGUG